GGCUGCCGUCGGCUUCGACACCGUAGGAAAGACUGACACUAGCGGCCAUGACUCAUGAGGGCGGAAUAUUGCCAGGGUCACACCGCCCGGCGAACUCCGGGGAAGGUUCACUGAGGUCGGGUUUUGACCUUUGCCCCGAGCUUCCGGUCAACCCGGACGUGCCGUAAACCGCGGUCGGGGCGGAAAGCGCUGCCCGGGGGCCCUUCGGCUUUCGUCCUGGGAGCACCCGCUUCCCGAAGGGAGCGUCGCCGGAGCCGAGUCGGGGGCGUCGGGGACGUUCUGGAGCUGCCGGCGGCCCGUGGCGUAGAGGAGAGGCCGCGAGCGGGGCCCGUGGGAACGCCAGGCCCUGAGGAGCUUGCUGCCUGGGCGCUGGCCGAGAGGCGGCCGAGUGCUGGGGGCGGUGCGCUGGGCCCCCAGCGUGGAGCCGUGCGCGCGCGUGGCCCCAGCGGCCGGAGCCCUGGACGCGGGGAAGACGCCCGAGAACUAGGGGAGCGCCUGGAGCUCGAGACGGAGGCAGAGGGCGGCCCAAGGGGCCCCGAGAAGGGACAUCCCGGAGCCGAGCGUCCGUGAAACUGGUCCAGGCGUUAAAGGGCGUGACUCUGGGGUCCCGGAAUCGAGUCCCGCGUCGGGCUCCCCGCGGGGAACCUGCUUCUCCCUCUGCCUGUCUCUGCCUCUCUCCGUGUGUCUCUGGUGAGUAAAUAAAUAAAAUCUUAAAAAAAAAAUCUGUAUAAAUAAAUAAAUGUAGGAGAAUUAAAAUGAAAUGGGAAUUUAUAAUGGAAAAAGAAAAAGCAUGAGUGGGAGAAUACGUGUGGCACAUUUACACAGGCAUUUAAAAAUUAACCAUGGGGGCACGGGGAUGGCUCAGCCCUUAAGCAUCUGCUGUCUGUUCAGCUCAGACCUUGGGAUCAAGCCUGGCGUGCGGCUCUGCACCCGGCUGGAAGUAUCCCUCUGCCCUGUACCCCUAGUGCCGCCACCCCCAUCCACGUUGCCCCAUGCUCUCUCAAAUAUAUAAAAAUUUUAAAAAAUCAACCAUGAAAAAUGGGCCUGAGGAUGAAAUUUAUACAUUUCUAUUUUACAUCCGUCUUUACCAUGUGAAUUUCUUUUACUAUAUGCAUAUAUUACUUUUUUAGAAAACUAGUUUUUUUAAAACUCCAGUGAUGUGGGGCACCGGGGGUGGGGGGCCUCAGUGGUGGAGCAUCUCCCUUUGGCUCAGCUUGUGAUCCCCGGGGUCCUGGGAUCUAAUCCUGCACAUCAGGCUCCCUGCAUGGAGCCUGCUUCUCCCUCUGCCUGUGUCUCUGUCUCUCUCCGUGUGUCUCUCAUGAAUAAAUAAAAUAUUAAAAAAAUAAAUAAGGGGGAUCCCUGGGUUGCUCAGCGGUUUAGCGCCUGCCUUUGGCCCCGGGGCACGAUCCUGGAGGCCCCAGGAUUGAGUCCCACGUCGGGCUACCGGCAUGGAGCCUGCUUCUCCCUCCUCCUGUGUUUCUGCCUCUCUCUCUCUCUCUCUCUCUCUCUCUCUCUGUCUAUCAUAAAUAAAUCUUUUUUAAAAAAAUAAAUAAAUAAAAAUUAAAAAAUAAAUAAGUAAAAUUCCAGUGAUGGAUAGGCCAGAAAUUCUGAAUCAUGAACAUUUCGGUGGCAGCUAAAGCCAUAGAUUUGGAUAAACUCCAGAGAAUAGCAGAGAGCUAAGAAGAGUGCUGGUGGGGGGAGGGUGAUAUUACAGCAUUUACAGUACCUGUGGAAAGAAGAGCCCUUGGAGAAUCUGAAAAGGAACAGCCAAUGAGAAAGAAUAAAAAUUAGGCGGUGAUUCUUCUAGCAUCUGAAGGAAGAGAGUUUCAGGAGGAUCAGAGUUGUUAAGAGUGUCAGAUGUUCCCAGAAAGGCAGCUAACAAGAAAGGUACUUUGAGCUCCAGGCCUAGUUUUCCUAGAAGCUUGGCAUAGAGGUCAAAUCCAGAUCAUGAACCUUCCCCUCAUGUACCACGUAGAAUUUGAUCCCUGUGCUGAUCCACCCUUAGGCAUCACGGCCGCCAGUCCCAGUCUUUCAAGGGGCCUUGAAGGCAGGUCUGGUGCCACCGGUGUUUCCACACUGGGCAGUGCUGCCUCUCCUGUUGCUUACUAUGGCCAUGAAGCUGCAAUCAACAAAAACCUGUGUGGGAGCGCCUGGCUGGCUCAGUGGGUAGAGCAUGCAACUCGAUCUACGGGUUGUGAGUUCAAGCCCCACACUGGGUAUAAAGAUUACUUUAAAAAGUAAGUAAAAGGGCAGCCCGGGUGGCUCAGUGGUUUAGCAUCUGCCUUCCACUCAGGUCAUAAUCCUGGGGUCCUGGCAUCAGGCUCCCCCUAGGAAGCCUGCUUCUCCCCCCUGCCUAUGUCUCUGCCUCUCUGUGUCUCUCAUAAAUAAAUCUUUUUUAAAAAGUAAGUAAAAAAUAAAGUUGGAAGUGGAUUAUCUCUUUUAAAAAAAGUAUCUAAAAAGGAAGAAAGAAAAAAACCUGUGUUGCAAGAAAUGAUGAAAAUAAGGAAUUGAAAGUAACAGUAUAAGUUGGAGUUGAGAAGAGCAAGCAGUAACUAGGGAAAAAAUAAAUAAACUCAUAAAAAAAAGAAGUAAGUAGGAGUCACAUGGAUCUUCCUAAAACCACGCAGGAUGUGAGGAAGAGCUGGUUGAGAGAGGUUACUGAACAGGUGCUGAUGUCAACAACCAAGAAGGCAAAAGGGCAGUAGAGCAGUGGCAUAAGCCUCAAGGAGAAGCAAGUUUUUGCAAGAAAAUGAGAGCACAAUCGUCUGAAGAUGAGCAGCUUUUGCUUUCGAAGGUUGCAGGGAAGAGGGUUCCAUUAGAAAAAGUCAAAUUUUCUACCCCACUCAUUCCGUCCCUGAACCCACGGGAACUCUUCCUUUUUUUUUUUUUUUUUUUUUUUUUUAUUCAUGAUAGAGAGGCAGGAGACAGGCAGAAGGAGAAGCAGGCUCCAUGCAGGGAGCCCGAUGCGGGACUGGAACCCAGGACUCCAGGAUCAUGCCCUGGGCCAAAGGCAGGCGCUAAACCGCUGAGCCACCCAGGGAUUCUCGGAACUCUUCCUUUGUACAGAGCUUCUUGUACGGUCUCAUUUUCUUCACAGGAUGCUCCCUAGCUUUUCUUGGAGGAAAACUCAUCAGGACAGAGGUAGCUGUGAUCUAUGGAGGGGGGAUGUCCCCCGACCCACAAAGUCCACAAAAGAGACAGACACAGGUGCUACAAAUAUAAUCAUUUUCUUUCCCUAUUCUAUUCUGGAGUGGCUUGCCCUUCUUGCCAUUAAAGUAGUAAUCUCUACACGAGCCCACCUAUCCUUUCCAAACUUAAGCCCAACUGCAUUAAGAGGAUCAGAGAGGAGAGCUGGUGCUGAGGACUGCACACUCUAGUAGCAGGUAUCUGCUGUCCUGCAACCUUCUGGGGGGGGGGGGGAUGGGGGGACAGAUUGCUCUUCACUCAGAAUGGAAACCUAAAGGAAGGCUGGGGCUUGUCUUCAACUUAACAACUACGUUUUGCAGAUUCCAGACAUGAGACCAACUGCCUGGCCAGCUGUUCCUAAGUUAGUCAAUCCAUUCGAGGCUGCAUUUGUAGGAACGUUGUGUUCAGGGAGCCUUUAAAGUUCACUCCUUCAGCUAGAAGCCCUGAGAUUUCACAGGUGUCGAAGAGAUCAUUAUACCAGUUCAGAGCUGAGAUUUCCUGGGGUGAAACAUAAAUACUGGCUAAACCAUAGGGCCGUGUAGAGAUGGGCGCUCAGCCCAUCACAGAAAAAAAAUAUGUUUUUUUACAAUUUUGUUUAUUCAUGAGAGGCAGAGACACAGGCAGAGGGAGAAGCCGGCUCCCUGCAGGGAGCCUGAUGGGGGGACUGGAGUCCCAGGACCUCAGAGUCCCGCCCUGAGCCACAGGCCUAUGCUCCACCACUGACCCACCCGGGGGCCAGAAAAAAAUAUUUCAUACACAUUAAGGCCUUUUGUUAGCCAUAGCUAAACAAUACCCCCCCCCAACACCGUCUCUCUACAGUGAAAGCAAAAACUUUCUCUCUCACCUUAUGUUCUUUUUCUACCCUCUCCCUUGCUUCAGCUAGAAACUGCAGCCUCUGCACAAGGCUCUCAGUGCUCUUAAGUCCUCUGCCCUUGGCCCCCUUCCUGUACAUCAGCUCCUAUCCCUUCCUUGAGGCUUCAGCCGAGAAAACGUCCCCCCAACUUUCAAAUAUUGGCCCCUUUGGCUUGACCCUGAUUCCCCUCCUUUUCUGCUUCUCAAGACUAUUCCCACAGUUAUUGCUUCCUUCAGUGGGAUCUUUAACCUAACAUCCCUCAGCCACCUUAUACAUGCUCCCAUUUCUACUAUGUCCUGCCCUAUAGUUCUUUUUUUCCCCCAAAGAUUUUUUUUUAUUUAUUUGACAGUGCAUAGGAAGGGGAAGCAGCAGAGGGAGAGGGAGAGGGAGAAGCAGACUCCCCACCCAGCAGAGAGCCUGACACGGGGCUCCAUCCCAGGACCCCAGGAUCAUGACCUGAGCCGAAGGCAGAUGCUUAACCCACUGAGGGACCCAGGCGCCCUAGAGUUCUUAACUCACUAAUUGUCAGUGGUUAGAAAAGCAUUUUUUCUGAACUUAGAAAAUUUUCUCCCUUUGUCACUUCUGUUGAUGGGUCCAAUUUUUUCCCUUUGGAUCAACACAGCAUAGCUGUGGAGCAGCCCUUCAGGUAGCUACCAUGUUUCCACAAACAUUUUUUUUCCAAGUCAGUGAUCGUAGCAAUUCAAGGAAUAGUAGAUAUUUUUUUUCCAAGUCAGUGAUCGUAGCAAUUCAAGGAAUAGUAGAUAUCGUAUCUUUGUGGAUCUGAAUACUCUGUUAGGGCUGCUUGUCCCGACCAUGCUGUUCCCCAGCUCUGCCAAAAUUAAAAUCUUUUCAAAUCAGACCUUCCCUUAAAGAAGCCUGUACACUGUUGACAACCCACGGUGGCAAGUAUCCUCUUGACUCUUCCAGGGCCACUCUGAACCUGUGUCCCUGUCCCCUUUACUCUUGAACUUUAUCCUACAGCAACUUCCUGACCUGACCGUUCUCUCUAGUUCUUGGGUCCCCAUUAACUGCAAGGUGUUGCUGUUAUUUUCACCCAGGCAUCUUACGAGCUCCGAACUGCAUCUGAGCUUCAAACCUAAUUAUAAGCCCUUAGCUAGAAUUCCAAUGUCUCCUGACUCCUGAAGAGAAGAGGAAGGACCACAAUCAGUCACUGAAUCCUAAUGAUCUACCUAAAAACCUCCUUAACCCUUGCAUGUCUCCAGACGGAGACUCCUGUGCUUUGGGCCUCUUCCCUCAAGCCCUGUGGUGUCCAUGCCUGCUGCUUGUUCUCUGCCCUCCCCCUUGAUCUGUGUCCAUCCAAGCCCCUGCCCCGAGUCCUUCUACCCUUACUGUCCUGGCUUCUUCUCCCUGCUUUGUUUUUUCCAUUCCCCUGCUCUGACUUUCACCAAUAGGACUUUGGGCAAGCUCCUUAAUUUCUCUGAGCUUCUUUUCUUAUCUGUAAAAGGCAAGUAUAAUACCACCCCAUAGGUCAUUGUUUUAAUGAUUAUAUUAAAUUAACAUAUGAAGCAUUAGCAUAGGGCCGGCCCAUUGUAAGUGCUCUAUAAAUGUUACGUAAUAUUUAUGUAUUGUACUUUUCGCCAGGUUUCAGAAAUUCCUGAGGUUCUUUAUCAGUGCUCUCUGCUGCCCCCGUGGGAUGACUUUUUCUGAGUCAUUGGGUAUCCUAUAGGCCCUGCCCCAAAACAGCACUGUUAUACCAGCCUCACCAGCUACUUAGAGAAUCAGUUCUUUGGUUGGUUGGUUGUUCAAUCAAAUGAAAAUGCUUCUAUAUUCCAGCCCAUUCUCUAUCUUUUUUAAAAGCAUGUGUCAGGAAACCUAUGUGUUUCUGAAAUCAAGGCAUACUGCCUAUGACAUUCUCCUAGUUUUUUCAUCUAGUAACACUAGGGGGACACCUGAGUGGUUCAGUGCGUUAAGCAUCUGCCUUCUGCUCAGGUCAUGAUCUCAGGGUCCUGGGAUUGGGCCCUGCAUUGGGUUCCCGGCUCAGCAGGGAGUCUGCUGCUUCCUAUUCCACCUCCAUCCCCACCCCUGGCCCCACUUGUCCUCUCUCUCAUGCUCUCUCAAAUAAAUAAAUAAUUUUAAAAAGUGAGAGAAAGAGAGAUUUGGGGUACCUGGGUGACUCAGUUGGUUAAGCAUCCAACUCUUGGUUUUGGCUCAGGUUAUGAUCUCAUGGGUUGUGAGAUCGAGCCCUGCAGUGGGCUUCUUGCUCAGUGGGAGUCUGCUUGAAAGAGUCUUUCCCUCUUCCCUUCCCCCCAGUCACGUGCUCUUUCUCUCUCUAAAAAUAAAUUUUACUUAUUUUAAAGAUUUUAUUCAUGAGACAGAGAGAUAGAGAGAGAGAGGCAGAGACACAGGCAGAGGGAAAAGCAGGGUCCUCGAAGGGAGCCCGAUGUAGGACUCAAUCCUGGACCCUGGUAUCACACCCUGAGCCAAAGGCAGACACUGAACCACCUAGGCAUCCCUCUAAAAAUAAAAUUUAAAAAUAAAUUGUUUUUAAAAAAUAUGGUAACAGGGCAGCCCUGAUGGCUCAGCGGUUUAGCACCUGCCUUGGGCUUAGGGCGUGAUCCAGGAGUCCUGGGAUCAAGUUCUACGGUGGGCUCCCUGCAGGGAGCCUGCUUCUCUCUCUGCCUGUGUCUCUGCCUCUCUCUGUAUGUGUCUCAUGAAUAAAUAAAUAAAAUCUUUUUUAAAAAAAGAAAAAAAUGAAUGAUCAGGGAAAGUCUUUGAGGAGGUAGCAUAGAAACUGAGACUGAGGGAUCCCUGGGUGGCGCAGCGGUUUGGCGCCUGCCUUUGGCCCAGGGCGCGAUCCUGGAGACCCCGGAUCGAAUCCCAUGUCGGGCUCCCGGUGCAUGGAGCCUGCUUCUCCCUCUGCCUGUGUCUCUGCCUCUCUCUCUGUGUGUGUGUGACUAUCAUAAAUAAAUAAACAUUUAAAAAAAAAAAAAGAAACUGAGACUGAAAGGCCAUGAAGGGACCAGCCAUCUUGCAGAGAAUGGGGAGGAGUAUCCUAGGCUUAGGACACCUGCAAAAG